UCGAGCGGAACGAGUUAUCAGAACCUUCGGGGAACGAUAACGGCGUCGAGCGGCGGACGGGUGAGUAAUGCCUAGGAAAUUGCCCUGAUGUGGGGGAUAACCAUUGGAAACGAUGGCUAAUACCGCAUGAUGCCUACGGGCCAAAGAGGGGGACCUUCGGGCCUCUCGCGUCAGGAUAUGCCUAGGUGGGAUUAGCUAGUUGGUGAGGUAAGGGCUCACCAAGGCGACGAUCCCUAGCUGGUCUGAGAGGAUGAUCAGCCACACUGGAACUGAGACACGGUCCAGACUCCUACGGGAGGCAGCAGUGGGGAAUAUUGCACAAUGGGCGCAAGCCUGAUGCAGCCAUGCCGCGUGUGUGAAGAAGGCCUUCGGGUUGUAAAGCACUUUCAGUCGUGAGGAAGGUAGUGUAGUUAAUAGCUGCAUUAUUUGACGUUAGCGACAGAAGAAGCACCGGCUAACUCCGUGCCAGCAGCCGCGGUAAUACGGAGGGUGCGAGCGUUAAUCGGAAUUACUGGGCGUAAAGCGCAUGCAGGUGGUUUGUUAAGUCAGAUGUGAAAGCCCGGGGCUCAACCUCGGAAUUGCAUUUGAAACUGGCAGACUAGAGUACUGUAGAGGGGGGUAGAAUUUCAGGUGUAGCGGUGAAAUGCGUAGAGAUCUGAAGGAAUACCGGUGGCGAAGGCGGCCCCCUGGACAGAUACUGACACUCAGAUGCGAAAGCGUGGGGAGCAAACAGGAUUAGAUACCCUGGUAGUCCACGCCGUAAACGAUGUCUACUUGGAGGUUGUGGCCUUGAGCCGUGGCUUUCGGAGCUAACGCGUUAAGUAGACCGCCUGGGGAGUACGGUCGCAAGAUUAAAACUCAAAUGAAUUGACGGGGGGCCCGCACAAGCGGUGGAGCAUGUGGUUUAAUUCGAUGCAACGCGAAAGAACCUUUACCUACUCUUGACAUCCAGA
rnacentral:rRNA from 1 species